GGUUCUAUAGUGUAGCGGUUAUCACUUCGGAUUCUGACUCUAGGUCAUUCCGGCGACCCCGGUUCGAGUCCGGGUAGGACCU
rfam:Chaetomium globosum CBS 148.51 scaffold_7 genomic scaffold, whole genome shotgun sequence.